UCUAUCCUCUGCGCUCUAACAGAAAUACACAUAGUGCUCAGGAGAUGUUGUGAAGUGAACACGUGGGGCAUUCUGACAGCACAGGCAGAGCCUCUUCCCUGUGCCACUUGAUCAACCAAUCAACAUACAGCAAGGCUUUCCAGCAUGUCACAGGCCCCACCAUGCCCUAUUGUGUGCCAUCAGGCUUGCAUCCCUCGUUUAUGUUAUCUGCCUGGCCCUUGAAGCAAGCCCUGGAUCCUGACCAGCCCCGAGCGUAGAGGUGACUUGAACAAGGUCCCUGCUCACAGGCACCCACAGUAUGAGAUGUGAAUGCGAGAUACUGUGGGCCCGGCCAGGUGGCUGGCCCCUUUGCAGGUGCCUCAUAGCACACCCCCUCUUGUUUUUCUGCAUGUUGGUGGCGUGUGUGUGUGUGUGUUUGU